UACGGGGGGGGCAAGCGUUGUUCGGAAUUACUGGGCGUAAAGGGCUCGUAGGCGGCCAACUAAGUCGGAUGUGGAAUCCCCAGGCUCAACCUGGGAACUGCAUCCGAUACUGGAUGGCUUGAAUCCGGGAGAGGGAUGCAGAAUUCCAGGUGUAGCGGUGAAAUGCGUAGAUAUCUGGAGGAAUACCGGUGGCGAAGGCGGCAUCCUGGACCGGCAUUGACGCUGAGGAGCGAAAGCUAGGGGAGCAAACGGG
rnacentral:rRNA from 1 species